rnacentral:rRNA from 1 species
CAGCCGCCGCGGGAAAACGAAGGGGGCUAGCGUUGCUCGGAAUGACUGGGCGUAAAGGGCGCGUAGGCGGUUUUCCAAGUUAGAUGUGAAAUUCCUGGGCUCAACCUGGGGGCUGCAUUUGAUACUGGGAGGCUUGAGUAUGGAAGAAGGUCGUGGAAUUCCCAGUGUAGGGGUGAAAUUCGUAGAUAUUGGGAAGAACACCGGUGGCGAAGGCGGCGACCUGGUCCAUAACUGACGCUGAGGCGCGAAAGCGUGGGGAGCAAACAGGAUUAGAUACCCGGGUAGUCCCUGUCUCUUAUAC